rnacentral:rRNA from 1 species
GAGUAACACGUGGGUGAUCUGCCCUGCACUCUGGGAUAAGCCUGGGAAACUGGGUCUAAUACCGGAUAGGACCAUGCUUUAGUGUGUGUGGUGGAAAGUUUUUCGGUGUAGGAUGAGCCCGCGGCCUAUCAGCUUGUUGGUGGGGUAAUGGCCUACCAAGGCGGCGACGGGUAGCCGGACUGAGAGGUUGGUCGGCCACAUUGGGACUGAGAUACGGCCCAG